ACGCUUAACUGACUGCGCCACCCAGGCGCCCCUAAAUGUAUCAUUUUUUAGACAUGAAAGAACAAAUCAGAAUUUCAAAUUCUCAUUGAUUUUUGAAACUUUAUUUAUAUUUUGGUCUUAAAAACGAUCAUUUCUAAAUUGGCUUUUCUGUAAGAAGGUAAAGCACAAAAAUUUGCCAAAUAUCAUCAGAUCCACACAAAUCCU